rnacentral:rRNA from 1 species
GACAGAGGCCCCGAGCGUUAGGCGGAAUCACUGGGCUUAAAGCGUGUGUAGGCGGACCCCUAAGUGUCUUGUGAAAUCCCACGGCUCACCCGUGGAACCGCUGGGCAUACUGGGGGUCUUGGGCCGUUCAGGGGCGACUGGAACAAGCGGUGGAGCGGUGAAAUGCGUAGAUAUCGCUUGGAACGCCGAAGGUGAAAACAGGUCGCUGGGGGCGCGCCGACGCUGAGACACGAAAGCCAGGGGAGCAAACGGG